rnacentral:misc_RNA from 1 species
GAAUAGCCAAGUGGUUCCACAACAAAGCAAGAUAACUGCCGUCUGGUCAGACAACGAUGAGAAUAAGGAUUCGCUAGAAACAGCUGAUAUAUGCUUAUGUGAUGUGCAAAACCACAUAUGGGAAAACCAUCAGGUUUCUUCAACUCUUGUGUUGCACAAUGUCCAUUUGUAGUUAACUGAAGUGGAGUUGCUCUUCAUGUUAUAGUCCAGAAAAUUUUGUUUCUUAAAAAC